rnacentral:rRNA from 1 species
UACGUAGGGUGCGAGCGUUAAUCGGAAUUACUGGGCGUAAAGCGUGCGUAGGCGGUUCGUUAUGUCUGCUGUGAAAGCCCCGGGCUUAACCUGGGAAUGGCAGUGGAAACUGGCGGGCUUGAGUGUGGCAGAGGGGGGUGGAAUUCCGCGUGUAGCAGUGAAAUGCGUAGAGAUGUGGAGGAACACCGAUGGCGAAGGCAGCCCCCUGGGUUAACACUGACGCUCAGGCACGAAAGCGUGGGGAGCAAACAGG